ACGAGAGGACCGGAGUGGACGCAUCACUGGUGUUCGGGUUGUCAUGCCAAUGGCACUGCCCGGUAGCUAAAUGCGGAAGAGAUAAGUGAUGAAAGCAUCUAAGCACGAAACUUGCCCCGAGAUGAGUUCUCCCUGAGACUUUAAGUCUCCUGAAGGAACGUUGAAGACGACGACGUUGAUAGGCCGGGUGUGUAAGCGCAGCGAUGCGUUGAGCUAACCGGUACUAAUGAACCGUGAGGCUUAACCUU
rnacentral:rRNA from 1 species